GAUGAACGCUGGCGGCGUGCCUAAUACAUGCAAGUCGAGCGAACAGACGAGGAGCUUGCUCCUCUGACGUUAGCGGCGGACGGGUGAGUAACACGUGGAUAACCUACCUAUAAGACUGGGAUAACUUCGGGAAACCGGAGCUAAUACCGGAUAAUAUAUUGAACCGCAUGGUUCAAUAGUGAAAGACGGUUUUGCUGUCACUUAUAGAUGGAUCCGCGCCGCAUUAGCUAGUUGGUAAGGUAACGGCUUACCAAGGCAACGAUGCGUAGCCGACCUGAGAGGGUGAUCGGCAACACUGGAACUGAGACACGGUCCAGACUCCUACGGGAGGCAGCAGUAGGGAAUUUUCCGCAAUGGGCGAAAGCCUGACGGAGCAACGCCGCGUGAGUGAUGAAGGUCUUCGGAUCGUAAAACUCUGUUAUUAGGGAAGAACAAAUGUGUAAGUAACUAUGCACGUCUUGACGGUACCUAAUCAGAAAGCCACGGCUAACUACGUG
rnacentral:rRNA from 1 species